rnacentral:sRNA from 12 species
CCUUUGGAGAAUCAUAUCAAAUCAGAGUAGUCUAUCCUUGUGAUGACAAAAUGAGGUUCUAUGAAUAAGGAA